AUUUCUUCGGGAUUCAAGCUAGUAUGCAACUGGCUAAACAGUGGAGAAAGCUUGGUUGUUACUGUGCCCCAUCUCUCCUCUAGGUUGCAGUGAGCCAAGAUCACACCACUACGCUCCAGCCUGGGUGAGACAGUGAAACUCCAUCUCAAAAAGAAAAAAGAAUGGAGAGUCAAGGGACUUAUAUGGUAGUAAGAUUUCUACAUUCCACUUGAGGGUAGCCAACAAGAUGUAAGCAGAAGUCUUAUGGUGUGGCUUCUGGGAAACCUCUCCAAAGGUAACAGACUAAGAUGGGAGGCAGGUGCUUUUUCUCUUCUACCUUCCUUUUCUUUCAAGACUGGAAAGUAAAUAUGAUGGCUGGAGCUACAGAAGCAAUUUUACAAUAAAGAAGUAACUUUAAGGA